rnacentral:rRNA from 1 species
CUAUCAUGCAGCCGAACGCGUUGGCCCAAUUGAUUGAUGGUGCUUGCACCUGAUUGAUUUUGGCCGCCAACGAGUGGCGGACGGGUGAGUAACACGUAGGUAACCUGCCCAGAAGCGGGGGACAACAUUUGGAAACAGAUGCUAAUACCGCAUAACAACGUCGUUCGCAUGAACAACGCUUAAAAGAUGGCUUCUCGCUAUCACUUCUGGAUGGACCUGCGGUGCAUUAGCUUGUUGGUGGGGUAAUGGCCUACCAAGGCGAUGAUGCAUAGCCGAGUUGAGAGACUGAUCGGCCACGAUGGGACUGAGACACGGCCCAUACUCCUACGGGAGGCAGCAGUAGGGAAUCUUCCACAAUGGGCGCAAGCCUGAUGGAGCAACACCGCGUGAGUGAAGAAGGGUUUCGGCUCGUAAAGCUCUGUUGUUAAAGAAGAACACGUAUGAGAGUAACUGUUCAUACGUUGACGGUAUUUAACCAGAAAGUCACGGCUAACUACGUGCCAGCAGCCGCGGUAAUACGUAGGUGGCAAGCGUUAUCCGGAUUUAUUGGGCGUAAAGAGAGUGCAGGCGGUUUUCUAAGUCUGAUGUGAAAGCCUUCGGCUUAACCGGAGAAGUGCAUC